rnacentral:rRNA from 1 species
AUACGGAAGGUCCGGGCGUUAUCCGGAUUUAUUGGGUUUAAAGGGAGCGCAGGCGGAGAUGCAAGCGUGACGUCAAAUUUCGGGGCUCAACCCCGUCUCGCGUCGCGAACUGCGUCCCUUGGUUGCGGGAAGGGGAGGCGGAACUCGUGGUGUAGCGGUGAAAUGCAUAGAUAUCACGAAGAACUCCGAUCGCGAAGGCAGCCUUCCGGCCCGUCAACGACGCUCAUGCUCGAAGGUGCGGGUAUCAAACAGGAUUAGAUACCCUGGUAGUCCGCACAGUAAACGAUGGACACCCGCGGUUUGGCCUGUAUGGCUGAGCCGCCAAGCGAAAGCGUUAAGUGUCCCACCUGGGGAGUACGUCGGCAACGGUGAAACUCAAAUGAAUUGACGGGG